rnacentral:rRNA from 2 species
UACGUAGGGCGCAAGCGUUGUCCGGAAUUAUUGGGCGUAAAGAGCUCGUAGGCGGUUUGUCGCGUCUGCCGUGAAAACCCGAGGCUUAACCUCGUGGCUUGCGGUGGAUACGGGCAGACUAGAGGUAGGUAGGGGAGAAUGGAAUUCCCGGUGUAGCGGUGAAAUGCGCAGAUAUCGGGAGGAACACCGGUGGCGAAGGCGGUUCUCUGGGCCUUACCUGACGCUGAGGAGCGAAAGCGUGGGGAGCGAACAGG